UGGGGAAUAUUGCACAAUGGGCGCAAGCCUGAUGCAGCGACGCCGCGUGAGGGAUGACGGCCUUCGGGUUGUAAACCUCUUUCAGCAGGGAAGAAGCGAAAGUGACGGUACCUGCAGAAGAAGCGCCGGCUAACUACGUGCCAGCAGCCGCGGUAAUACGUAGGGCGCGAGCGUUGUCCGGAAUUAUUGGGCGUAAAGAGCUUGUAGGCGGUUUGUUGCGUCUGCUGUGAAAGACCGGGGCUUAACCCCGGUAUUGCAGUGGGUACGGGCAGACUAGAGUGCAGUAGGGGAGACUGGAAUUCCUGGUGUAGCGGUGAAAUGCGCAGAUAUCAGGAGGAACACCGAUGGCGAAGGCAGGUCUCUGGGCUGUAACUGACGCUGAGAAGCGAAAGCAUGGGGAGCAAACAGG
rnacentral:rRNA from 1 species